CAGAACAUUGGUGGCAACAACAGAGACUGAAGUGCAGCCGGAGCAGUAAGAUGGCGGACUAGCAGCUGGCUCGGUACGGUGCUAUAGCGGGAGGAGAAGGUGGUUUCCGCUGACGCAAGCUGGAGGCCGGAGCCUGUGGCACAGCGGCUCGCCUCGCUGAGGCUGGUGGCUGCAACAGAGACGGCACAGCUGCUGGAGUGGUAGAAAGGCGGCCACGGUAGGCUUUUCUGACUUUGUUGGCUCAGCUGCUCCGUGCCAGAAGGAGGAACAACCUGCCACACGCUGGAAAGUGAAGGCUGGAGCCUGGAGCCUGGGACGUGGCGGCUGGCUUCGCUGCGGUGGCUGGUGCUUUGGAGGAGUAGGAAGCCAUCAUUCUUCAGAAGGCAAUGACGGAACAGUACCAGCAGCAACUGAAGGACCAGCAGAAGAAUUUCCCUGGCUAAUACCUCCAGUACACUGCUGAGUAGAGUGGUUAAAGUGGAAAUUCUUGCCUUCUCAAACUUUCAGGUAAAGAGC